UUAGCUGAGAGGUGGUGCGAUGGCCGUCGUCAGUUCGUACUGUGAAGCAUCCUGUUAAGUCAGGCAACGAGCGAGACCCACGCCCACAGUUGCCAGCGUACUCUCUGGAGUGACGGGUACACUGUGGGGACCGCCGCUGCUAAAGCGGAGGAAGGAAUGGGCAACGGUAGGUCAGUAUGCCCCGAAUAUCCCGGGCUACACGCGAGCUACAAUGGUUGGUACAAUGGGUAUCUACCCCGAAAGGGGACGGGAAUCUCCUAAAACCAAUCUUAGUUCGGAUUGAGGGCUGCAACUCGCCCUCAUGAAGCUGGAAUCCGUAGUAAUCGCGUUUCAACAGAACGCGGUGAAUACGUCCCUGCUCCUU
rnacentral:rRNA from 1 species